rnacentral:rRNA from 1 species
CCUACGGGUGGCAGCAGUGGGGAAUAUUGCGCAAUGGGCGCUAGCCUGAACCAGCCAAGUAGCGUGCAGGAUGACUGCCCUAUGGGUUGUAAACUUCUUUUGUAUGGGAAUAAACUGCAGUAUGUAUACUGCUUUGCAUGUACCUUAUGAAUAAGGAUCGGCUAACUCCGUGCCAGCAGCCGCGGUAAUACGGAGGAUCCGAGCGUUAUCCGGAUUUAUUGGGUUUAAAGGGAGCGUAGGCGGGUUGUUAAGUUAGUGGUGAAAUGUGGGAGCUUAACCGUGAAAUUGCAGUUGAUACUGGCAUCCUAGAGUGCAGUUGAGGUAGGCGGAAUGCGUGGUGUAGCGGUGAAAUGCUUAGAGAUCACACAGAACACCGAUUGCGAAGGCAGCCUACCAAUCUAUAUCUGACGCUGAGGCACGAAAGUGUGGGGAGCAAACAGGAUUAGAUACCCUUGUAGUC